UAUUGGUGUUAUUUGAUUUAGUCACUAAAUAGAAAUAAUAAAUAGAAUAUAUUAUAUUGGGCUUAUUUAUUGAUGUUAGGAGUAAAUAGGAUGUGUUAUAUUUAGGCCCAUAUAGCAUAUGAUAGUAAGAGUUAGAAUGAGGGAGUGCCACAUUUUCUUUCAUUUUUCCUUUUCAUUUUCGGAUAGAGAGAGGCAGAGAAAGACAAGAAGAAGAAAAAAGGGAAAAGAGAAAGGGGAAGAACAAAGGGGAGCUAGGGUUUGGAGGAGACAUUGAAGAGGUUUUGACGAUUAGUAGCUGGCGUGUGAUCUAGUCGGAGUUUCUUCCGAGUUGCUUGGUAAUUAAGUAGCGAGUCGAUGCUCUGGUCAUGUAACAAUGGGUAGCUUAGACGUUGAACUCAUGUUCUAUUUGUUUAUGUAUUUUGUUAUAACUUGUGAACAUGUUUAAUUGGUUACUUGUUGUUGAGAGGCUUUAAGCCGAAUAUUAUGAUUAUGGUUAUCUUAUGCGUUGUUUAUGGAAAUAUGAUCAUGGUAUGGGACAUGUAUCAUUUAUAUGAAACACAUGAGUAUUACUUUCCGCUGUUAA